rnacentral:rRNA from 1 species
GACGAACGCUGGCGGCGUGCUUAACACAUGCAAGUCGAGCGGAAAGGCCCCGCUUGCAGGGUACUCGAGUGGCGAACGGGUGAGUAACACGUGGGUGAUCUGCCCUGCACUUCGGGAUAAGCUUGGGAAACUGGGUCUAAUACCGGAUAGGAGCCAUCUUUAGUGUGGUGGUUGGAAAGUUUUUUCGGUGUAGGAUGAGCUCGCGGCCUAUCAGCUUGUUGAUGGGGUAAUGGCCUACCAAGGCGGCGACGGGUAGCCGGCCUGAGAGGGUGUACGGCCACAUUGGGACUGAGAUACGGCCCAGACUCCUACGGGAGGCAGCAGUGGGGAAUAUUGCACAAUGGGCGCAAGCCUGAUGCAGCGACGCCGCGUGGGGGAUGAAGGCCUUCGGGUUGUAAACUCCUUUCGCUAGGGACGAAGCUUUUUUGUGACGGUACCUAGAGAAGAAGCACCGGCUAACUACGUG